CCGGCGUGACCGCCCGGGACAGGAAGGAGCGCGCUAGGCACCAACACCGUGGCCUUGCUCAUGCUGCACAAGUUCGAGUCCUGGCCAUGGAGCGAAGGCCGGGGCACGAGACGAGACCUAGUUGGGCUUCAGAGACCUGCCUCAGGGCGUCCCCGCGGGAAUACAAGCUCCAUGAGCACAGGGACCUUGUCUACAUCGCUUGAAGUUGUAUGGCCAGGGCCUUGGCGGGUGCUGGGAACACAGGAGAAACUCAGUGGACACCUGGGCAGGCUUGCUGGCCCCUGGGGCAGACAGGUGACUGCUUUUGGAAAUGGGGCCUCUGAAGAGGUAACUGAGGUCAGACAAAGGUCAUAUGGGUGUGCCUUACUCCAGGAUGCCUGGUGUUCUUACAAAGAGAGACGGACACAAGGGAGGUGCACGAGGAGAGAAGACCCCAUGAAGAGCCUGCAAGAGGGUGGCCACCCUCGAGCCAAGGAGAGAAGCCGCAGAGGAACCCAGGACUGCCGGCACCUUGACCUGGGACUCCAGCCUGCAGAGCUCUGAGAAGAUAAACUCUGUUGUUGAAGCCGCCCAGCCUUUAAUCUUUUGUGUCAUGGCAGCGCUGGAAGACUAACAUAGUUCUUACAUUUUUAAAUUUUAACUCUAAGACUAUAUUCGCCCGGUUCAAAAUCAAAUGCAGGCCCAAAGAGUGACCGGGUGAUCAAGGUCAACAGCAGCAGUGACACAUCUGGUUGAGCAUGCCCUUCGUGGGAUGGGACGAGAAUAGCAUUUUCCUCUGUUGUAUUCCAAAAACAAAACGCGACAGAACCACCCACCACCUCAGCCUAGUCCUGACAAAAACACGGGGCAAGUCUCAAGUGAGGAACAUUGUCCAAAACACCCAGAGUGCUCCUCAGAGCGGUCCAGGGCCUAGAAACCGAAGGAGGUCUGGGAAAGUGGGACAGCCCUGAGGGGCGGAAGGGGCCCGCCCGCUGAGUGUGAUGUGAUGUCCUAGGCCAGACCCUGGAACAAAGGAUGCCGAGUGAAAGUAUGGGAAUCUGAGUAAACUAUAAACUUGACUUUGUACUGGGCUGGCCAAAAAAUCCAUUAUGUUUUUUUUUCCAUACAAUGGCUCCAGCAGUGCUUAGCUGUCUUUAAUGUCAUUCAAAACAAUUUUGUUGGAGUGCAUUGUGACAGCUGU